GCUGGGGCUCGGUGAGGUGUGAAGUGGUCUGGAUUCUAGACCUGGUCCUGCAUUACAAUGAGGGCGGGGGGAGGGGGGGCUUCAGCAAACAAGCUGAGUGUGCAGGAAUGUCCCAUCAUGCCCCAGAUGGAGUCCUGCUGCUUGAAACAACUACACGGUUUGGCCCCCCAGGACAGAGAGGAGGUCAGGGCUCGGAUCAGGGACCAGCAGAUCCACCAAACCUGAUCGGUUUCAGGUUCAUGACGUCACAGAAGAAGCUCUGAUGUUCGGAUCCACGAAGAAUGAUAGAAAAAUGAGAUGAGGAUUAGAUUAAGGAUUCAGGAUUAAGAGAGAGAAAAGGAGACGAGGAAUUCUGACUUUGAUCUCAGAAUUUGGGAGAAAAAAGAUCAGAUUUCUGGGAUUAAAGUUGGAAUUCUGAGAAAAAAAAUUGGAAAACUGCACAUGUGAAGCAAUACUUUGGUUUCACAGUGUAAAGAGAAAACGUAAAAGAACACUAAAGUUUGGAAGGAAAUCUAAUCUGAAUUCAACGGGAAUCUCAUAAUAAGAAAAAUAAAGAAAUAAAAUAAAAACAAUAGAAAUAAAGAGUUCCAUGUAAGAAAUAGGGAAUAAUAAUGUUAUUAAUGUUAAUAAUGUUAAUAAUAACAUCCAUUGAUAAGAUAUUUUUGUUGUUAGUUCUAAGGAAACUGUUUGAUUUUUUUUUGUUAUUAUUUUUUUGUUUUUAUGAACGUCAUUCUGUUUAUUUGAUUACAGCUAAACUAGUUUUAGAAAAACAAAGUUUUAGUUUUUUUAAAUUAGUUUUCAAAGGAAACGACUCAUUUCAGAACAAAAUGUGAUUAAAAUGAUCUCAGUGAGUCGAUGUAUCUUCAUAAACUCUCCUAAAGUCUGAACCAGGAUCUAUUUCUGAUCCUGAAUCUGAAUGAAGAAAUCUUCCUAAAUCACUUUUGCUAUUAGCGUUCAGUUAAUCUCAAAUGUUUAUAGUGUUAACUGAUCAAAUUUAUUUUUUUAAAAUCAAUUAAAGUUGAUCUUUCUGUUUGUUUCUGUCGUGGUUUGUGUUGAAUGUUAUAAAUUCCAAUUAAUAAAUCACAUUUAGAGCCUUAAGAACAAUUAGUUAUUGUCUUUUUGGUCAAACAGAUCUGGUGGAUGUUUGUCUACGUUUAAGUCAAACAGAUCUGGUGGAUGUUUGUCUACGUUUAGGUCAAACAGAUCUUGUGGAUGUUUGUCUACGUUUUGGUCAAACUGAUCUGGUGGAUGUUUGUCUACGUUUUGGUCAAACAGAUCUGGUGGAUGUUUGUCUACGUUUUGGUCAAACAGAUCUGGUGGAUGUUUGUCUACGUUUAAGUCAAACAGAUCUGGUGGAUGUUUGUCUACGUUUAGGUCAAAGGUUUCAGUUUUUUAUCCCUUUGAUCAACAGAUCAAAGGCGUUUAAGUUUUGUUUAAAGUGUUUAUAAAGAUGUUUUUACGUCACCUGAACAGAAACUUCCUGUUAUGAAGGGGGCGGGGCUUGACGUUUCUCUGUUAAAAGGAUCAAUGGAAGGAUCAGAUCUUCAUUCGUCAGAUCUGCUGAUGGAUCCGGUCUUCAGAUCCCUCUGGAAUAACCGCUUCACUUCCUGUUUACUUCCUGUUCCCCUUCCUCUGUUUACCAAACAGAUUCCUGAUGAAUCCCUGGAAUUCUGAUCCCGAGCAGGAGAAGAGCGGGACACGCAGGUGAGGCUCCGCCCCCUCGGCUCAUCCCAGUGACUGACAUGUUUGUAUGUUGGAGGUGAAAAACCAGGCCACAGUUGCAAAUAAGAAGGCUGUUCUUAAUCUGUCCUGCCUGGAUAAAUAAAGGUUAAAAAAAUAAAAUAAAAUAAAAAAAA